GAUGAAGAACGUAGCGAAAUGCGAUAAGUAGUGUGAAUUGCAGAAUUCAGUGAAUCAUCGAAUCUUUGAACGCACAUUGCGCCCCUUGGUAUUCCAUGGGGCAUGCCUGUUCGAGCGUCAUUUGUACCUUCAAGCUCUGCUUGGUGUUGGGUGUUUGUCUCGCCUCUGCGUGUAGACUCGCCUUGAAACAAUUGGCAGCCGGCGUAUUGAUUUCGGAGCGCAGUACAUCUCGCGCUUUGCACUCAUAACGACGACGUCCAAAAGUACAUUUUUACACUCUUGACCUCGGAUCAGGUAGGGAUACCCGCUGAACUUAAGCAUAUCAAUAAGCGGAGGA
rnacentral:misc_RNA from 1 species